GAUGAACGCUGGCGGCGUGCCCAAUACAUGCAAGUCGAGCGAAUGGAUUAAGAGCUUGCUCUUAUGAAGUUAGCGGCGGACGGGUGAGUAACACGUGGGUAGCCUGCCCAUAAGACUGGGAUAACUCCGGGAAACCGGGGCUAAUACCGGAUAACAUUUUGAACCGCAUGGUUCGAAAUUGAAAGGCGGCUUCGGCUGUCACUUAUGGAUGGACCCGCGUCGCAUUAGCUAGUUGGUGAGGUAACGGCUCACCAAGGCAACGAUGCGUAGCCGACCUGAGAGGGGGAUCGGCCACACUGGGACUGAGACACGGCCCAGACUCCUACGGGAGGCAGCAGUAGGGAAUCUUCCGCAAUGGACGAAAGUCUGACGGAGCAACGCCGCGUGAGUGAUGAAGGCUUUCGGGUCGUAAAACUCUGUUGUUAGGGAAGAACAAGUGCUAGUUGAAUAAGCUGGCACCUUGACGGUACCUAACCAGAAAGCCACGGCUAACUACGUGCCAGCCGCCGCAGUAA
rnacentral:rRNA from 1 species